rnacentral:rRNA from 1 species
GAGUUUGAUCAUGGCUCAGGAUGAACGCUAGCGGCAGGCUUAACACAUGCAAGUCGAGGGGUAACAUAAGUGCUUGCACUUGAUGACGACCGGCGCACGGGUGCGUAACGCGUAUAGAAUCUACCUUAUACUAGGGGAUAGCCUUUGGAAACGAAGAUUAAUACCCUAUAGUAAGUAUUUAUGGCAUCAUUUAUACUUUAAAGGUUACGGUAUAAGAUGACUAUGCGUCCUAUUAGUUUGUUGGUGAGGUAACGGCUCACCAAGACUUCGAUAGGUAGGGGCCCUGAGAGGGGGAUCCCCCACACUGGUACUGAGACACGGACCAGACUCCUACGGGAGGCAGCAGUGAGGAAUAUUGGACAAUGGAGGAAACUCUGAUCCAGCCAUGCCGCGUGCAGGAUGACGGCCCUAUGGGUUGUAAACUGCUUUUAUGUAGGAAGAAACACUCUCACGUGUGAGAGCUUGACGGUACUACAAAAAUAAGGACCGGCUAACUCCGUGCCAGCAGCCGCGGUAAUACGGAGGGUCCAAGCGUUAUCCAGAAUCAUUGGGUUUAAAGGGUCCGUAGGCGGGCUAUUAAGUCAGAGGUGAAAGUUUGCAGCUCAACUGUAAAAUUGCCUUUGAAACUGGUAGUCUUGAAUUAUUAUGAAGUGGUUAGAGUAAGUAGUGUAGCGGUGAAAUGCAUAGAUAUUACUUAGAAUACCAAUUGCGAAGGCAGAUCACUAAUAAUAUAUUGACGCUGAGGGACGAAAGCGUGGGGAGCGAACAGGAUUAGAUACCCUGGUAGUCCACGCCGUAAACGAUGGAUACUA